GUCGAACGCUGGCGGCGUGCCUAAUACAUGCAAGUAGAACGCUGAAGGAGGAGCUUGCUUCUCUGGAUGAGUUGCGAACGGGUGAGUAACGCGUAGGUAACCUGCCUGGUAGCGGGGGGUAACUAUUGGAAACGAUAGCUAAUACCGCAUAAGAGUAGAUGUUGCAUGACAUUUGCUUAAAAGGUGCAAUUGCCUCACUACCAGAUGGACCUGCGUUGUAUUAGCUAGUUGGUGAGGUAACGGCCCACCAAGGCAACGAUACAUAGCCGACCUGAGAGGGUGGUCGGCCAAACUGGGAACUAGACACGGCCCAGACUCCCACGGGGGGCAGCAGGAGGGAAUCUUCGGACAUGGACGGAAGUCUGACCGAGCAAAGCCGCGGGAGGGAAGAAGGUUUUCGGAUCGUAAAGCUCUGUUGUAAGGGAAGAAAGAGGGUGAGAGUGGAAAGUUCACUCUGUGACGGUAUCUUACCAGAAAGGGACGGCUAACUACGUG
rnacentral:rRNA from 1 species